rnacentral:rRNA from 1 species
UACGAAGGGGGCUAGCGUUGCUCGGAAUCACUGGGCGUAAAGCGCACGUAGGCGGUUUCUUAAGUCGGUGGUGAAAUCCUGGAGCUCAACUCCAGGACUGCCUUCGAUACUGAGAGUCUUGAGUUCGGGAGAGGUGAGUGGAACUGCGAGUGUAGAGGUGAAAUUCGUAGAUAUUCGCAAGAACACCAGUGGCGAAGGCGGCUCACUGGCCCGAUACUGACGCUGAGGUGCGAAAGCGUGGGGAGCAAACAGG